rnacentral:rRNA from 1 species
UACGGGGGGAGCAAGCGUUGUUCGGAUUUACUGGGCGUAAAGGGCGCGUAGGCGGUCAGCACAAGUCAGUUGUGAAAUCUCCGGGCUUAACUCGGAAAGGUCAACUGAUACUGUGCGACUAGAGUGCGGAAGGGGCAACUGGAAUUCUCGGUGUAGCGGUGAAAUUCGUAGAUAUCGAGAAGAACACCGGUGGCGAAGGCGGCCAACUGGACGGUGACUGACACUGAGACGCGAAAGCGUGGGGAGCAAACAGG